UACGUAGGGUGCGAGCGUUGAUCGGAAUUACUGGGCGUAAAGCGUGCGCAGGCGGUUUUGUAAGCCAGAUGUGAAAGCCCCGGGCUUAACCUGGGAAUGGCAUUUGGGACUGCAAGGCUUGAGUGCGGCAGAGGAGACUGGAAUUCCUGGUGUAGCAGUGAAAUGCGUAGAUAUUAGGAGGAACACCGGUGGCGAAGGCGGCAUCCUGGACCAACACUGACGCUGAGUGAGCGAAAGCCAGGGGAGCAAACGGG
rnacentral:rRNA from 1 species